UCUAGUUAUGCGCUCCGCAUCAAGUGUACCGCCGGGGAGGACGCUCCCAAGAUUAAAACUCAAAGGAAUAGACGGGGCACGCGCAAGCGGUGGAGCAUGUGGUUUAAUUCGAAGAUACGCGAAGAACCUUACCUGGGCUUGAUAUCCUAAGAUCCUUUGAGAGAUAAGAGGGUGCUAGCUUGCUAGAACUUAGAGACAAGUGCUGCACCGCUGUCGUCAGCUCGUGUCGUCCCCCCCUCUUAAAAAUAAGUCCCGCAACGAGCGCAACCACGUAUUCAUAUGCCCCAAUUGGCCGAGCACUCUAAAUAGACAGCCUUCGUAAGGAGGAAGAAGGUGUGACGCCGACAAAGCACCCGGGCCAAG
rnacentral:rRNA from 1 species